GGAUGGACUCGCGGCCUAUCAGCUAGUUGGUGAGGUAACGGCUCACCAAGGCGUCGACGGGUAGCCGGCCUGAGAGGGUGACCGGCCACACUGGGACUGAGACACGGCCCAGACUCCUACGGGAGGCAGCAGUGGGGAAUAUUGCACAAUGGGCGCAAGCCUGAAGCAGCAACGCCGCGUGGGGGACGAAGGCCUUCGGGUUGUAAACCUCUUUUAGUAGGGAAGAAGCGAAAGUGACGGUACCCGCAGAAAAAGCACCGGCUAACUACGUGCCAGCAGCCGCGGUAAUACGUAGGGUGCGAGCGUUGUCCGGAAUUAUUGGGCGUAAAGAGCUCGUAGGCGGUUUGUCACGUCUGCUGUGAAAACCCGAGGCUCAACCUCGGGCCUGCAGUGGGUACGGGCAGACUAGAGUGCGGUAGGGGAGAACGGAAUUCCUGGUGUAGCGGUGGAAUGCGCAGAUAUCAGGAGGAACAUCGAUGGCGAAGGCAGUUCUCUGGGCCGUGACUGACGCUGAGGAGCGAAAGCGUGGGGAGCGAACAGGAUUAGAUACCCUGGUAGUCCACGCCGUAAACGUUGGGCGCUAGAUGUGGGGACCAUUCCACGGUUUCCGCGUCGUAGCUAACGCAUUAAGCGCCCCGCCUGGGGAGUACGGCCGCAAGGCUAAAACUCAAAGGAAUUGACGGGGGCCCGCACAAGCGGCGGAGCAUGCGGAUUAAUUCGAUGCAACGCGAAGAACCUUACCAAGGCUUGACAUAUGCGAGAACGCUCUAGAAAUAGAGAACUCUUUGGACACUCGUAUACAGGUGGUGCAUGGUUGUCGUCAGCUCGUGUCGUGAGAUGUUGGGUUAAGUCCCGCAACGAGCGCAACCCUCGUCGCAUGUUGCCAGCACGUAAUGGUGGGAACUCAUGUGAGACUGCCGGGGUCAACUCGGAGGAAGGUGGGGAUGACGUCAAAUCAUCAUGCCCCUUAUGUCUUGGGCUUCACGCAUGCUACAAGGGCCGGUACAAAGGGCUGCGAAACCGCAAGGUGGAGCGAAUCCCAAAAAGCCGGUCUCAGUUCGGAUUGAGGUCUGCAACUCGACCUCAUGAAAUCGGAGUCGCUAGUAAUCGCAGAUCAGCAACGCUGCGGUGAAUA
rnacentral:rRNA from 1 species